rnacentral:rRNA from 1 species
CCUACGGGAGGCUGCAGUGGGGAAUAUUGGACAAUGGGGGGAACCCUGAUCCAGCCAUGCCGCGUGUGUGAAGAAGGCCCUCGGGUUGUAAAGCACUUUCAGUGAGGAAGAACGCCUGGUGGUUAAUACCCAUCAGGAAAGACAUCACUCACAGAAGAAGCACCGGCUAACUCCGUGCCAGCAGCCGCGGUAAUACGGAGGGUGCGAGCGUUAAUCGGAAUUACUGGGCGUAAAGCGCGCGUAGGUGGCUUGAUAAGCCGGUUGUGAAAGCCCCGGGCUCAACCUGGGAACGGCAUCCGGAACUGUCAAGCUAGAGUGCAGGAGAGGAAGGUAGAAUUCCCGGUGUAGCGGUGAAAUGCGUAGAGAUCGGGAGGAAGACCAGUGGCGAAGGCGGCCUUCUGGACUGACACUGACACUGAGGUGCGAAAGCGUGGGUAGCAAACAGGAUUAGAUACCCCUGUAGUC